GUUUAUGUAGCUUAACAAAUUCAAAGCAAGACACUGAAAAUGCCUAGACGGGCUCAUAAACCCCAUAAACAAACA
rnacentral:tRNA from 1 species